AUUCCAGCUCCAAGAGCGUAUAUUAAAGUUGCUGCGGUUAAAAAGCUCGUAGUUGGAUUUCAGUCUAGGAAGGUUAACUCGCCGAAAGGUUGUACGUUGAUUUUCCUCAGACUUCGUCAGAAGCUCGUGCUGCACUUAACUGUGUGGUACGAUGUUCUGACCUUUUACCUUGAGGAAAGUAGAGUGUUUCAGGCAGGCUACCCAGCUUGAAUACAUUAGCAUGGAAUAAUGAAAUGGAUCUCGGUUCGAUUUCGUUGGUUCUAGAGCUGAGGUGAUGAUCAAUAGGAACAGGCGAAGGUAUUCGUACUUGAGAGUGAGGAGUGAAAUCCGAUGAUCUCUUAAGGACGAUCCGAGGCGAAAGCAUUUGUCAAGGAUGUUUUCAUCA
rnacentral:rRNA from 1 species